GUGGGGAAUAUUGGACAAUGGGCGAAAGCCUGAUCCAGCCAUGCCGCGUGUGUGAAGAAGGUCUUCGGAUUGUAAAGCACUUUAAGUUGGGAGGAAGGGCAGUAAGUUAAUACCUUGCUGUUUUGACGUUACCGACAGAAUAAGCACCGGCUAACUUCGUGCCAGCAGCCGCGGUAAUACGAAGGGUGCAAGCGUUAAUCGGAAUUACUGGGCGUAAAACGCGCGUAGGUGGUUUUGUAAGUUGGAGGUGAAAUCCCCGGGCUCAACCUGGGAACUGCCUCCAAAACUGCAGGACUAGAGUACGGUAGAGGGUAGUGGAAUUUCCUGUGUAGCGGUGAAAUGCGUAGAUAUAGGAAGGAACACCAGUGGCGAAGGCGACUACCUGGACUGAUACUGACACUGAGGUGCGAAAGCGUGGGGAGCAAACAGGAUUAGAUACCCUUGUAGUCC
rnacentral:rRNA from 1 species